UACGUAGGGUGCAAGCGUUGUCCGGAAUUAUUGGGCGUAAAGAGCUCGUAGGCGGUCUGUCGCGUCUGCUGUGAAACUCAGGCUUAACCUGAGCUUGCAGUGGGUACGGGCAGACUAGAGUGCGGUAGGGAGACUGGAAUUCCGUGGUGAUAGCGGUGAAAUGCGCAGAUAUCAGGAGGAACACCGGUGGCGAAGGCGGGUCUCUGGGCCGUAACUGGACGCUGGAGGAGCGAAAGCAUGGGGAGCGAACAGG
rnacentral:rRNA from 1 species